rnacentral:rRNA from 1 species
ACCCUACGGGGCGCAGCAGUGAGGAAUAUUGGUCAAUGGUCGGGAGACUGAACCAGCCAAGCCGCGUGAGGGAGGAAGGUACAGAGUAUCGUAAACCUCUUUUGUCAGGGAACAAAGACUGGGACGCGUCCCCGGAUGAGUGUACCUGAAGAAAAAGCAUCGGCUAACUCCGUGCCAGCAGCCGCGGUAAUACGGAGGAUGCGAGCGUUAUCCGGAUUUAUUGGGUUUAAAGGGUGCGCAGGCGGCGAGUUAAGUCAGCGGUAAAAUUUCGGGGCUCAACCCCGACGAGCCGUUGAAACUGGCUU